ensembl:misc_RNA Metazoa_SRP Metazoan signal recognition particle RNA
GCCAGGUGCGGUGGCUCACGCCUGUAAUCCCAGCACUUUGGGAGGCCGAGAUGGGUGGAUCACCUGAGGUCAGGAGUUCAAGAUCAGCCUGGCCAACAUGGUGAAACCCCAUCUCUA